UACGUAGGGUGCGAGCGUUAAUCGGAAUUACUGGGCGUAAAGCGCGCGUAGGUGGUUCAGCAAGUUGGAUGUGAAAGCCCCGGGCUCAACCUGGGAACUGCAUCCAAAACUACUGGGCUAGAGUAUGGUAGAGGGUGGUGGAAUUUCCUGUGUAGCGGUGAAAUGCGUAGAUAUAGGAAGGAACACCAGUGGCGAAGGCGACCACCUGGACUAAUACUGACACUGAGGUGCGAAAGCGUGGGGAGCAAACAGG
rnacentral:rRNA from 1 species